GAUAAAAAAGUACUUCUUUUUCUUUCCCUUCCUUCCUUCCUUCCUUCCUUCCUUCCUUCCUUCCUUCCUUCCUUCCUUCCUUCCUUCCUUCCUUCCUUCCUUUCUUCCUUCCUUUCUUCCUUCCUUCCUUCCUUCCUUCCUUUCUUCCUUUCUUCCUUUAUUUCUUUAUUUCUUUCUUUCUUUCUUUCUUUCUUUCUUUCUUUCUUUCUUUCUUUCUUUCUUUCUUUCUUUCUUUCUUUCUUUCUUUCUUUCUUUCUUUCUUUCUUUCUUUCUUUCUCUUUCUUUCUUUCUUUCUUUUUUUGCAGAUUCAUCCCAUUACUUCUAUUAUUAAUAAUUUCUUCCACAUUCAUUUGUACUCAGUCAUAUUAAUGCAU
rnacentral:lncRNA from 1 species